CGGACGGGUGAGUAACGCGUGAGAAUCUGCCUUCAGGUCGGGGACAACCAUUGGAAACGGUGGCUAAUACCGGAUAUACCUAACAGUGAAAGAUUUAUUGCCUGAAGAGGAGCUCGCGUCUGAUUAGCUAGUUGGUGGGGUAAGAGCCUACCAAGGCGACGAUCAGUAGCUGGUCUGAGAGGACGAUCAGCCACACUGGAACUGAGACACGGUCCAGACUCCUACGGGAGGCAGCAGUGGGGAAUUUUCCGCAAUGGGCGAAAGCCUGACGGAGCAAUACCGCGUGAGGGAGGAAGGCUCUUGGGUUGUAAACCUCUUUUCUCAGGGAAGAAACCUGACGGUACCUGAGGAAUCAGCAUCGGCUAACUCCGUGCCAGCAGCCGCGGUAAUWCGGAGGAWGCAAGCGUUAUCCGGAAUGAUUGGGCGUAAAGCGUCCGCAGGUGGGCAGUGUAAGUCUGCUGUCAAAGAGUCUGGCUCAACCCAGAUAAAGGCAGUGGAAACUACACAGCUAGAGUGCGGUAGGGGCAGAGGGAAUUCCUGGUGUAGCGGUGAAAUGCGUAGAGAUCAGGAAGAACACCGGUGGCGAAAGCGCUCUGCUAGGCCGUAACUGACACUGAGGGACGAAAGCUAGGGGAGCGAAUGGGAUUAGAUACCCCAGUAGUCCUAGCCGUAAACGAUGGAUACUAGGUGUUGCUUGUAUCGACCCGAGCAGUACCGUAGCUAACGCGUUAAGUAUCCCGCCUGGGGAGUACGCAGGCAACUGUGAAACUCAAAGGAAUUGACGGGGGCCCGCACAAGCGGUGGAGUAUGUGGUUUAAUUCGAUGCAACGCGAAGAACCUUACCAGGGCUUGACAUGUCGCGAAUCAGAGGGAAACUUCUGAGUGCCUUCGGGAGCGCGAACACAGGUGGUGCAUGGCUGUCGUCAGCUCGUGUCGUGAGAUGUUGGGUUAAGUCCCGCAACGAGCGCAACCCUCGUUUUUAGUUGCCAUCAUUAAGUUGGGCACUCUAGAGAGACUGCCGGUGACAAACCGGAGGAAGGUGGGGAUGACGUCAAGUCAGCAUGCCCCUUACGUCCUGGGCUACACACGUACUACAAUGCUCCGGACAGAGGGCAGCGAGCAUGCAAAUGCAAGCAAAUCCCGAAAACCGGAGCUCAGUUCAGAUCGCAGGCUGCAACUCGCCUGCGUGAAGUUGGAAUCGCUAGUAAUUGCAGGUCAGCAUACUGCGGUGAAUUCGUUCCCGGGCCUUGUACACACCGCCCGUCACACCAUGGAAGCUGGUAGUGCCCGAAGUCAUUACCCCAACCUAUUGGAGGGGGAUGCCUAAGGCAGGACUGGUGACUGGGGUGAAGUCGUAACAAGGUAGCG
rnacentral:rRNA from 1 species